rnacentral:rRNA from 1 species
GACGAACGCUGGCGGCGUGCUUAACACAUGCAAGUCGAACGCUGAAGCUCAGCUUUUGUUGGGUGGAUGAGUGGCGAACGGGUGAGUAACACGUGAGUAACCUGCCCCCUUCUUUGGGAUAACGCCCGGAAACGGGUGCUAAUACUGGAUAUUCACUGGUCUUCGCAUGGGGGUUGGUGGAAAGGGUUUUUCUGGUGGGGGAUGGGCUCGCGGCCUAUCAGCUUGUGGGUGGGGUGAUGGCCUACCAAGGCUUUGACGGGUAGCCGGCCUGAGAGGGUGACCGGUCACAUUGGGACUGAGAUACGGCCCAGACUCCUACGGGAGGCAGCAGUGGGGAAUAUUGCACAAUGGGCGCAAGCCUGAUGCAGCGACGCCGCGUGAGGGAUGGAGGCCUUCGGGUUGUGAACCUCUUUCGCUCAUGGUCAAGCCGCAACAAUGGUUGUGGUGAGGGUAGUGGGUAAAGAAGCGCCGGCUAACUACGUG